UCAAAAUCUUGAGUUCUUCAUCUCAAAUUCGAAAUCCAAUUCUUCUCUCAUGUCCGAUUCAAACCUCCAAGCGAAUAUGAAGAGUAACCCUCGAAUCGAACCUAAUCUCAUUCACUGUGCGUGUCCCCUUUAUCCUUGCUCAAAUCCGUUCCCAAUUUCGUUAAACCUAGUCUCAGGUCAGAUCUGCUUCUUCGCUUCAUCUUUCAUCCGGAAAAAGAGACAAUCCAAACAAAAUGAAAAACAGUGAAAAUGGCAGCUCAAUGUCUUCGAAGCUACAUGCUCAAUCUGAUUGGAAGAAAAAGGUCUAUCUUUUGAUUCAUGUGUUCCUCUUUUGAAUAUUCAAGGGUAACAAGAAAAGCAAAUAUGUUGUACAAUGGGCACUUAACAAGUUUGUUCCAGAGGUAAUGAUUAUCUUCAAGCUCAUACAUGUCCAUGCUGGUAUAGUUGGCGUUCCCACAUCAAGUAAUAUGAUUGUUUAUUGUGUUUAACAUUAAAAAAAUUUGUUUUUCUUUUAGAAUACAAAGUAACAAUUUUUUGCAUUUAAAAGUUGAUAAACACUUUUUUGUUAAAUUAAUAGGCUUUUUAAGUGUUAUGAUAACUGCAAAAACUUGCAUUUUUAUCUUGAAUUGAUUGGUUAACUAAGUUUGAUCACCGUCGAAGACAUAGGAAUAAUCGGCAGAACUCUAUGAUCAAUUGUUGUGUUUUUGUGCGUUUAUUUAUACGUUUACUUUAGAACCAGGUUUACUGGUCUAACAUAUUCCAGGGUUGUUAUGACUUAUGAUUGGCAGUCUUGCAUUCUGUAUCAAAGUCAGGGAACUUUUAUGUUUCCCUUACUUUUGCUAACAUGACUCAACCUCACAAAAAACGAUUUUUCAGGUGAGGAGAACUGCGCAAGCCUUAUAAACACAACUUAGGUCACAUAUUUAGUCAAUGUGUAACACUCCACGCGCCGUAAAUGUUCAGAUCCAAACAUUGGAAGUGUGAAAUAGUGUGUGGAAUAAGAGCUCAGCAAUGAUAAAACUGUAGAAUAUGUUUUUGGCCAUGUAUAAAUUCAUCACUUAUCACUUAUCAGCAUGAUAGGAAUAGUAAACAUGGUUAACUAGAAUAUUUUCCAUAUAACAAAAUUAAUUUAUUAUACAUAAGUGACUAUAGCUGCUUGUUAUGAUACAGCAGUGGAAGAUUUUACGAGAUUAAUUUUUAGUUAUGAUAAUUCAACAUUUUUGGCUACUAAUAAAGAUUUAUUAUCACCAAUAGUGCUAAGAUCAAACUGGAUUCUUCCUCAAAUAAUUUGUGUCAUUUUCUUGUUUCUUUCGUUUCCCUGUGUUUUGUAAAAUUUGAGUUUUUUUUAGAUCUCUGCUGGUUAGUUUUCUGUUUACACUCAAUUAUUUGAUUGUUUUCUAUAGAUUGAUUUUAUAGUUGGGUAAUUGUAAUUUAUGCAGUUAUCGACAUAUUUGUUGGCAUUUGUGUAUCUGUCUGCAUUUCUGCAGUCUGAUUUGAGUUAGUGAAAGGUGGUUUCACCUGCAACCUUUACUACUAAAGGGCCUUGAAGAAGUUAAUAGGUGCUGCUGGUGUGGUUUUCGAUUUUCUGCUAAUUUUUGCAGGCCAAUGUCAGUCUUCUGCUGCCUUGCGGUUGGUUUACUUGGUGUUCCAAUUAUGUUUGGUUUUGGAAGGGUUGGGGGCUGUUUAAUUCGGCAUUCUAUCUAAGUUUGGGGAAAUCUGCUGUUGGCAGCAGUGCUGGGUUUCUGUGCUGGCAGCAGAAAGGGAGUUUGCAUGUUACAGGGACUCCUUGUGAUAGGGAUUUUGAUGCAGAGGUAUGCUUUCGGUUUUCUAUUGUCCGUUGGUAUACUUCGGCCUCAUUAUUUAGAAUCGUUUUGGGAGCUUGGGUUGUUGGUGUUCCGUAUAUUUGCGGCGCCAUUUGUAUCUGUUUCUUUGUUUUUUCCGUGAGUGUUUUGCGUCUUGCAAUUCUCGUCGAGAAUAAAAUUGUCGUUUAAAAAAAAUGCGACAAAAUGUAAAUAUUCUAUUUUAGUUCGA